CCUACGGGAGGCAGCAGUGGGGAAUAUUGGACAAUGGGGGGAACCCUGAUCCAGCGACGCCGCGUGAGUGAAGAAGUAUUUCGGUAUGUAAAGCUCUAUCAGCAGGGACGAUAGUAAUGACGGUACCUGACUAAGAAGCCCCGGCUAACUACGCGCCAGCAGCCGCGGUAAGACGUAGGGGGCAAGCGUUAUCCGGAUUUACUGGGUGUAAAGGCAGCGGAGGCGGCGAUGCAAGUAUGAAGUGAAAGGCGGGGGCGCAACCCGCGGGCUGCUUUUGAAACUGUAUGGCUGGAGUGCAGGAGAGGUGAGUGGAAUUCCUAGUGUAGCGGUGAAAUGCGUAGAGAUUAGGAGGAACACCAGUGGCGAAGGCGGUUUACUGGACUGUAACUGACGUUGAGGCUCGAAAGCGUGGGGAGCAAACAGGAUUAGAUACCCGAGUAGUC
rnacentral:rRNA from 1 species